AACGAACGCUGGCGGCAUGCCUAACACAUGCAAGUCGAACGAGACCUUCGGGUCUAGUGGCGCACGGGUGCGUAACGCGUGGGAACCUGCCUUUAGGUUCGGAAUAACUCAGAGAAAUUUGAGCUAAUACCGGAUAAUGUCUUCGGACCAAAGAUUUAUCGCCUUUAGAUGGGCCCGCGUAAGAUUAGCUAGUUGGUGGGUAAAGGCCUACCAAGGCGACGAUCUUUAGCUGGUCUGAGAGGAUGAUCAGCCACGCUGGGACUGAGACACGGCCCAGACUCCUACGGGAGGCAGCAGUGGGAAUAUUGGACAAUGGGCGAAAGCCUGAUCCAGCAAUGCCGCGUGAGUGAUGAAGGCCUUAGGGUUGUAAAGCUCUUUCACCGGUGAAGAUAAUGACGGUAGCCGGAGAAGAAGCCCCGGCUAACUUCGUGCCAGCAGCCGCGGUAAU
rnacentral:rRNA from 1 species